CUUAAUGUUACGUUAGUAGUGCUUCAACAUAUGAAUGUUCAAAGUAUCAAACUAACAGCUGUAUUUAUAUGGUAAUAUUUAUAAUUACCAUAUUAAGAUGGAUUUAUUAUUUAUAUUUGUAUUUGUAUUUAUUACCAAAUAAGAUGUUCUUCACCAGAAAUAAUUUCUUGAUACAUUAAUUCAUGUUAAACCUUGUAAAUGUGUUUCUCUCAUCUUCUCCCUCUUUCUCCACUACAGGUGGAUUCAGGAGAUGCUGGAAUCGAUUCUCAGAUCACAUCUGUACUGCCCACGUUCAUGCCCUCAGGUUUGUCCCUCAGAACUCAGAACCAUCUGCACGUGCACAGCUGCUGUACAUGCUUAAACUUUGGGCCUAACCUUAUCAAAACGCAUAUAUAACAUUUAAAACAGAAAUGAAUGUGUCAGAGCAUCAGCAGUGUGAGAAUAGAGCUGUAGAUCUGCAGGGGGGUUUGAGACAUGAGGAGAAGUGUGAAAUGACAUCAAGCCUUGUUACUUGCACUUCUUCUGUUUGGCUGUUAGUAACGCAAGAGGGCAAACUCGACUAAAUAACACACAUGCAAUGUAGACAUAUAAUAUACACAUGAUCCCCCUCACACAUACAUACACAACCUCUUACUCAUGGAAUUGUCUCUCUGUGAUGUGCAGGUCCCGUUGAUGUGAAUACACAGGCAUUUGCAAAUGAACAUUCUGAUACGUACCAUGUAUACAGCUCAAUCCCCGACAGACCAGCAUCCUCAGCCCAGCCUGAUGGGUUGUACAGCCUUCUGCAGACACACUGAAACUUCACCUCUGGCUUUCUGUAUCUAUGUCUCACACAUUCUUUCUCUUUCUCACACGACAUCCUUUAUUAUCACUCAUCCAGUUACUGUAAAUAAGUUGAUUAACAGGUUAUAUUUCUACUGUAUUACACAUGGACAACUGAUUUCUGUUACAUGUCUAUCCAUAAUACCUCUUACUGUGUUAAUAUUUAUAUUUUGAAGGGGUACGGGGCAUACUCCCCUUUGAGCAUUUUUCUUAUUUCUUCUCCCUAGUAAAUGCUAAAUCUACUGUAUUUAAGUAUAUUAUGUUGACUGUUUGAUACCUUCUUCCAUAACAGUUGGAUACAAUUAUUUUCCUAUUGGGCAAAACAUAAUCCAAAACACAACCAAAACAAACUGCAAAUGCAUACAAACUCAAGUUUGUUGAGUCACAAGCUUAAUGCAUUUAUUGGGUGCGAAAAAUUUAGGACCAAAAUACAUAAUGCUUGACUACUUUAAUACACUAUAAAUGAAUUUGUCCAAAUACUUAUGACUUCUUGAAUUGGGGGGACUAUUUACAUAAAGUGCUUUUAUAUCUAAAUGGUAAAACAUACAAUACCUUCAGAAAGUAUUCACACCGCUUGACUUUUUCCAAAUUUUGUUAUGUUACAGCCUGAAUUUAAAAUGUAUGAAAUUGAGAUUUUUUUUAAUGUCCCUGGCCUACACACAAUACCACAUAAUGUCAAAGUGGAAUUAUGUAAAAAAAAAUGUCAAUAAGUAUUCAAUUACUUUGUUAUGGAAAUCCCAAAUAAAUUGAAUAAUACAUUGCAUGGACUCACUCUGUGUGCAAUAAUAAUGUUUAACAUGAUUUUUAUUGACUACCUCAUCUCUGUGCCCCACACAUACAAUUAUCUGUAAAGUCGGUCAGUCGCGUAGUGAAUUUCAAGAGAUUUAACCAAAAACAACAGGGUGGUUGUCUAAUGCCUCACAAAGAUGGAAACUAUUGGUUAAAAAAACAGACAUUGAAUAUCCCUUUGAGCAAGGUGAAGUUAUUAAUUACACAUUGGAUGGUGUAUCAAUAUACCCACUCACAACAAUAAUACUGCCAUCAUUCAUAACUUAGUUGCCGGAGAGGAAAAAACCCACUCAGAGAUUUCACCAUGAUGCCCAUGGUGACUUUAAAACAGUUACAGAGUUUAAUGGCUGUGAUAGGAGAAAAGUGAGGAUGGAUCAACAACAUUGUAGUUAAUCUACCAAACUAACCUAAAUGACGGAGUGAAAAGAAGGAAGCUUGUACCUGUUUGCAGCAAGGCACUAAAGUAAUACUGCAAAAACUGUGGCAAAGCAAUUAACUUUUUGUCCUGAAUACAAAAAGUUAUGUUUGGGGCAAAUAGGAUACAACACAUUACUGAGUACCAUUCUCCAUAUUUUCAUGCUGCGUCUUGUUAUGGGUAUAUUGUAAUCAUUAAGGGACUGGGGAGAUUUUCAGGAUAGAAAAUAAAUGUAAUGGAGCUAAACACAGGCAAAGUGCUAAAAGAAAACCUGGUCGAGUCUGCUUUCCACCAGACACUAGGAGAUGAAUUCACCUUUCGGCAGGAUAAUAACCUAAAACACAAGGCUAAAUAUACACUGGAGUUGCUUACCAAGCAUACAGUGAAUGUUCCUGAGUGGCAGAGUUACAGUUUUGACUUGAAUCUACUUCAAAAUCUAUGGCAAGACCUGAAAAUGGUUGUCUAGCAAUGAUCAACAACCAAUUGGACAGAGCUUGAAGAAAUUUGAAAAGAAUAAUGGGCAAAUGUUGCACAAUCCAGGUGUGGAAAGCUCUUAGAGACUUAGAGACGCAGAAAGACUCACAGCUGUAAUCGCUGCCAAAGGUGCUAAUACAAAGUAUUGACUCAGUGAUGUAAAGACUUAUCUAAAUGAAAUAUUUCUGUAUUUCAUUUUCAAAAAUGUAGCAAAAAAUUACAAAAAACAUGUUUUCACUUUGUCAUAAUGGGGUAUUGUGUGUAGAUUGGUGAGAUUGUUAAUUUAUUUAGUACAUUUUGAAUUCAGGCUGUAACACAACAUAAUGUGUGAUAAGUCAAGGGGUUUGAGUACUUUAUGAAAAUACCCUCAAAUAAAGGGGAAAUUCUGUACUGUCGCCUUAUAUAAAACAAUCUUAAAUGUAAAAUACUGGAGUAUAGAGCCAUAUAUAAUUUUUGGGCUUCACUGUCCAAAGGUAUAUGGAGGGGAGUGUAUGACCGAUAAAUGAUUCUGGUUGUUCAGAUACCCUUACUUCUGCAACAUUAGCUCACACUUGUUGUAUGAGACUGUUGUUUAGGUUUCUGCUCUCUGUGGUUUUGCUGUGCACAAGCUCCACAUGUACGUCUCUAUUCAAACAAUCCUCUGACACAGUCAUACCUUACUGUGAAGUCAGACUAACAGUAUGUAGCUGUCUGACAAAUGGCAUUGUUCAUCCCUGAUAUGGCUGGUCAUCUGUUCUUGGUCAUCCUCCUUUUUGGUGAGUUAUUUCUACAUUUCUACAGUUUCAUCAUCUGUUUGUUCUACAGGAUAUUCCUCUUCUUCUCUCCCCUCUUUUAGUCUUUUACUUUUUACUCUUUUACUUUAGGAACUCUUGAUAUUUCUGAAUCUCAUGGCUACGAUGAGUGUCUUGUAUCUUAUUCCAUUAAUCAUCUUAUUUAUUUCGCUCUAUCAUUAUUUUACAAUUUGUUCAGAUAAGAUUGACCACUGCUUGAUCCCCAUUAAUGCAUUACAGUAGAUUACGCUACUUUACCAACUUGUGUGAAGUGUUCAGGUGUCUCCUGUUAAAAUAUACUUUUUGAAUGGCAGACGAUGAUAAUCUACUUUAUAAUUUCUAGAUACGUUCCAAUCCAUCAAAGCCCAAGGUCAGUAUCAUUAUUAUGAGUUUUUAGUUACCCAGUAAAAAUAUUAUAAUAAUCAUGGUAUGAGAUGUUUUUUCACAGUAGAGACUCACUAUCCAUCGAUGCACAGUCAUCCUGCGCCUAUCACUAUUCUUGGUAAAAUAGUAUUAUUAUUAUGAAUACACGGAUCUGAUUGGCUCACUGUAAUCAGAUUGGAAUAUGUAAUGUCAUGCUAACAUAUACAUACUAUUUAGUUCUUACUCUUUUCGUUAUCUGGUACAGAAAGAGGUGUGUAUUCUCAUUAACCUACAGUAUGGACAGUUAUUGAUGUGUUCUCCUCACAGGUAAACUGCAGAAACCAGACAUUAGUGUCAAUGACGAAUCUUCUCAUGACAUCACUAUUGCCUGUGUACUUCCUGAGUCUGCCAGUGAUGGUCAUAGCUGUAACCUGUACACUGGAGACCAGCCUCAGGCCUACAAAGAGGCUUGGGUGAGGAGAUUUAACGCAGCAUCAUCCAAACUAUUCUGUACCUUCAGUGUUACUAAGAAUGAUCUGUUCAGGCAUCUGCAGUUGGAGAGAGAUGUGAGCUGUGACUAUAGAGUGAACACAGGAUCACACUCUCUGUCUCCCCGCAGUGAUAAAUACAUAAUUACAGGUAAGAUACUUACAUAAACAAAUACAGAAAUAUGUAUUAUAUGUACAUUUUUUAAGUGUAGAAUGGUAUGGGCAAAAACAGGUUGAAUAAACGUUGUAGUAGUAAA
rnacentral:lncRNA from 13 species